UUGAGCGCUGGCGGCAUGCUUUACACAUGCAAGUCGAACGGUAACAGGUUAAGCUGACGAGUGGCGAACGGGUGAGUAAUGCAUCGGAACGUGCCCGAUCGUGGGGGAUAACGCAGCGAAAGCUGCGCUAAUACCGCAUACGAUCUGAGGAUGAAAGCGGGGGACCGUAAGGCCUCGCGCGAUCGGAGCGGCCGAUGUCAGAUUAGGUAGUUGGUGGGGUAAAGGCUCACCAAGCCGACGAUCUGUAGCUGGUCUGAGAGGACGACCAGCCACACUGGGACUGAGACACGGCCCAGACUCCUACGGGAGGCAGCAGUGGGGAAUUUUGGACAAUGGGCGCAAGCCUGAUCCAGCAAUGCCGCGUGCAGGAAGAAGGCCUUCGGGUUGUAAACUGCUUUUGCAGGGGAAUAAAGUUCGCUACGAGUAGCGAUUUGUAAGUACCUUGCGAAUAAGGAUCGGCUAACUCCGU
rnacentral:rRNA from 1 species